rnacentral:pre_miRNA from 1 species
GGAAACUUAAAAAUUAUCGUUUGAUCGAAAAAUGAACUUCUGAUAUCCAUCCACGUCACCACGAGUAAAAAUUUUACUUGCAAAUACACUCAUGAGUAAAAAUUUUAUUGGGAGUAAAAAUUUUACUCGUAGUGAUGUGGACGAAUCUCAGACAUCCAUUUUUCGAUCCAACGGUAGUUUUUAAGUUUUC